AUAAAACAAAUGAAGAAAAGAAUAAAAGAAACAAAGAAGAAUAAGAAACAGAGAGCAUUCGAAAAACAGGGGAAGAAAAGGGCAAGAAAAGAAAAAGGGAAAAUUGAGAUUUUGAAGCUUCAAACUUAUUUGCCAACAAAGAACCUGAAGCAUCAGCAUCGAAAGGAAAGGAGAAAGUCAUCGAGGACUAAAACGGGAGAAUUACGGUUAGUAGAAGUCAAGUGUCUCGGCUCAGCAUCCAAAACAAUCCCGACUCCAACACAAAUUUGGUGAUGUAUAUUUUUCUUUUGGAUAAAAGUGGCAUGUACAUAGGUGUUGUUUAGUCACUUGAAUAUGUAUAUUACUUUGGGUAGUGAAGGAUGAUUUAUAAAAUUUAGAUGGUUAAAUGAAAUAGUAAGGAAAGUACAUGAUAUUUUGAUACAUGAACAUUAAGUUGUUAAAUGAAUGAAGUUUUUAAUCAA